rnacentral:rRNA from 1 species
AACGCGAAGAACCUUACCUGGGCUUGACAUUCCUGGAUUAUCUCGGUGAAAGCCGAGUAGGCCCCGCAAGGGGAACAACUGGAACAGGUGCUGCAUGGCUGUCGUCAGCUCGUGCCGUGAGGUGUUGGGUUAAGUCCCGCAACGAGCGCAACCCUUAUCAUUAGUUGCCAACACGCGAGGUGGGAACUCUAAUGAGACUGCCCGGGUUAACCGGGAGGAAGGUGAGGAUGACGUCAAGUCCGCAUGGCCUUUAUACCUGGGGCUACACACGUUCUACAAUGGUCGGUACAGAAGGCAGCAAGACCGCAAGGUGGAGCAAAUCCCUAAAAACCGAUCUCAGUUCGGAUUGUAGUCUGCAACUCGGCUACAUGAAGUUGGAAUUGCUAGUAAUGACGUGUCAGCAAUAACGUCGUGAAUACGUUCCCGGGCCUUGUACACACCGGAGUA